ensembl:lncRNA
GGUGAGCCAGGUGGGGAUUGCUGUGAAAUGGAGAAUACCAACAAGGUGGUCUGGAAGGGAAGCAAUUACUCCUGCAUCUAACAUAUGCUUCUUGCAUAUCUUCCAUGUUUCAAGCACAAUUCUAGGCAGGGAGGUACAGCCGUGCAUGAACCAGGCAAAACUCCCAGCCCUCUUGGAAUUUACAUUGAAUCAAUAGACUCAGGUUUAAAUGCUCUGUCACCACCUAAGAAUAUGGGCCCAUGGUCACUAUAACUUCUGAGUGUUGGAAAGAAAAACCAAAAGAAAAAAAAAAAAAGAAAAAGAAAAAAGAAAAAACAGACAUGUGGAUUUUGAAAAACCCCAAGUUCUGCUACGUUUUGGCAAUGGGUUUAUAUUGUUUUACGAAGCACAGGGCAGGCCAAACCCAGGGAUCCUAAGGGCUCCAAUUUGCAGCUCCCCACCCCCAGCUGUGAGAUGCUCCUUGAACAGCUUUGGGAGUCAGGGAGUCUGCUCUGCACAGCAGCAGCAGGUUUGAUUUGAAGGUCGUUGGCGCAGAGGGCACUGCUCCCUUGCUGCUGGGAGGUUCUGUGGCUUUUCUGCCCACAGUGCAGACGGCAGGGCUACACUGCUCGUUGCAGGCAGUGAGUUCUAAUAUUCCUUGGGAGAGCAGUUGUGACUGUAUUCCCCGCCCCCAGACAGCAUAUAUCAAGUGGACAGAAACAGUACCUAUAGUCACCCACGGGCGAAGGGGGUGAGGAGAGGUUGGUGGUGCUGGCGACGUGGAGAAAAUGCUGUGGGUCAGGGAAGCAGCCUUUGAAGCCAGAGAAUUAAUUAUCUCUGUUGCCUGCAUUUUUUUUUUUUUUUUUUUUGUCUUUUUGCCUUUUCUAGGGCCGCUCGCGUGGCAUAUGGAGGUUCCUAGGCUAGGGGUCCAAUCGCAGCUACAGCUGCCAGCCAACGCCCCAGCCAUAUCCACACGGGAUCCAAGCUGCAUCUGCAAACUACACCAUAGCUCCUGGCCACGCCGGGGCCCCAACCCACCGAGCAAGGCCAGGGAUCAAACCCAUAUCCUCGUGGAAACUAGUCUGAUUCAUUUCUGCAGCGCUGCAGUGGGAAUGCCUCUCCUCACAUUUUUUUCCCCCUUAGGGCUGCACCUAAGGCAUAUGGAGGUUCCCAGGCUAGGGGUCUAAUCGAAGCUGGAGCUGCUCGCCUAUCCCACAGCCACAGCAACGCGGGAUCUGAGCCACGUCUGCGACCUACACCACAGCUCAUGGCAACGCCGGAUCCUUAACCCACUGAGGAGGCCAGCGAUCGAACCUGCAACCUCAUGGUUCCUAGUUGGAUUCUUAACCAUGGAGCCACAACAGGAACUCCUUUUUUUUUUUUUUCCCCUUUACAAUUUUAGAAUGAAGGAAUCUUCCCCUCCAUCUCCUGCCAUGGGGAUCCGUGGAUGACAGCUUCUUGGGCAGAGUACCAAGGGGAGAGGAGCAGUUAGGAAUCAAGACCCCUGGAGCCAGGUAGUCUGGGUUCCAGCCUGACCGUCACUUGCUAUCAAGUUAUUUAACCUCUCAGCCCUCAUUUUUCUCAUCUGUAAAAUGGGGCUGUUCAUAAUUCCUCCCUCCUAGGGUUGUGAGCAUUAAAUGAGUUAAUCUUUGGAAAGAGGACUUGGCACAGAGUAGGCAAUCAGUCCUGUGGAUGUUGGCUGUCAUCACUGUUGGCACCUUCCCCUCCUCCCUCUAUGUCUUCAUCAUCCAUAUCCUCAUGGCCAUGGGUUAACUCUGAGCAACACUGACCCAUGGUCAGCAGAGAAUUCCCCCCUGGAUGGAGUCCGUCCGCCCGUCCUCUCGGGAGCAUCAUUGAUCCUCGCAUUAUCCCCCCGUCCUCCCACAGAUAUGAUAUUUCAGGGAGUGAUUGACGGGUGUGUGUGUGUGUGUACGUGGGGAAGGGUGGGCUUGUGCCUGACUCUGGGGAUACAGUGCUUUGUUAUGCAGAAUAGCGUGCCUGUCAUCCCACGACGAGCCCCUUCCUUGAAAAGUUCCAGGCUAUUUUUGAAGCCCUCAUGGCUCACAUGUUCCUUUCUCCCAUCAUGUCAAUGCCAGCACAGAAGCAUCGGAACCUUUUGGCAGAGCAUAAAGCAAAAGAGAUUUCAAAGUGCAUGGAGGAUGAGCGUUGCUCAGAUGUCAGGGUAUUAAGACGUGACGAGAAUGCAGAGUUGCGACACUGCCGCAGCUUGUGUGUUUGUGUUUGGACCUCAUUGCAUUUCUUGGGAAAUGAGCGGCGGUGCCCAAGGCUAACGUCAUCUCUAAGAAGGCACCCAACGGUAGAAACACCCCGUGACCCUCCCUCCCAUAAAUCUACUCUGGAAGAUCGGGAGAGGAUGCCAACGUGGAGUGGGUGGUUGCCCCGGGCAACUCCUGGGCUCUGGGCCACAGGGUUUUUCUGCAGGUGAAGCAACUGGGGAUGGAGGGAAGUGUAUUGGCACCGGCUGCCCUCACGCUUUGCUGCUGGUGCAGAGCUGCACAUGGGAGUCUGACUGUGUGCCAGCGAAUAUGUGGCUCUAAGAGCGAAGGUGCCAAACCCUCACCGUUUGUGCAUUUAUUUGCCCUUCCCACGCUUCCCUGAAGGGCAGGGAAGGAUUUUGAGGGCAGGUAGACCUGAGUCCCCGUCCCUCUUCUGCUGCUUGCUAGCUAUUUAUUUAUUUAUUUAUUUACUGUGCUUAUUUAGUGCCGCACCUGUGGCAUAUGGAAGUUCCUGGGCUAGGGGUUGAAUCGGAGCUGCAGCUGCCAGCCUACACCACAGCCACAGCAAUGCGGGAUCCAAGCUGCAGUCUGGGACCUAGACCUCAGUUCCUAGCAAGGCGGGGGCCUUAACCCCCUGAGCGAGGCCAGGGAUGGAACCUGCCUCCUCAUGGCUCCUAACCAGGUUCCUUAACAGCUGAGCCAUGAAGGGAACUCCUAUGUAUUUUUGCAUUAAAUUUUUUUUUUAGUAAUAUUGAUUUACAAUGGUGUGCCAAUUGCUGCUGUCUAGCAAAGUGACCCGGUCAGGCAUAUAUACAUGUUCUUUCGUACUAUCUCUUUAAACUUCGGUGAGUGGCUUUAAGAGGCAAGGGAUCAGGAGUUCCCAUUGGGGCUUAGUGGGUUAAGAGCCUGACAUCAUAGGGUCCAUGAGGAUGCGGGUUCGAUCCCUGGCCUCAAUCAGUGGGUUAAGGAUCUGGCGUUGCCACAAGCUGUGGGGUCGGUUGCAGAUGUGGACCUGGUUGCUAUGGCUGUGGUGCAGGCCGGCAGCUGCUGCUCUGACUCGACCCCUAGCCUGGGAACUUUCAUAUGCUGUAUUUAAAAAAAAAAAAAAAAAAAAAAAAAAAAA